rnacentral:lncRNA from 1 species
AUAUUUUGUAAAGAAGUAGCCACAAAGAUGUAUACAUCAGAAUAUAGUUGUCAACUUUUCAAGAUUGUAGGUGCUCCCAUCCUUGUAUGCAGCAAGCCAGAAGUUAUAUUUUUGUAUGUUAGAUUACAAUUGGUUGUACAAUCCAAAUAAUCUGUACAGUGUAAUUAUUUCAGUUUUUGCUAUAUCAGUAUCAUUAUGUACUUGCAAAGUAAUUAGUUAAUGAUCAACAGCCUAUAAUCUCGGAGGUUCCUGCAUAAAAAUUCAGCACCAUUCAGACAUUAAAACAAACAUCUUCGUGUAUCAAUCAAGAAUACUUCUUCAGGCAUUAAAACAAAGUAACAAACAUCUUCAUGUAUCAAUCAAGAAGACUUCUUUUCCUCUGAAAGCUGCUUCUAAUUGACCAAAAUUUGACACCCAACAAUUCAAAUUAUAAACACGAAUCCCCCAUAUAAGGAAAUUCAAUAAUAACAAUCAUUCUAAUUUCUCAAGAAGCAGUUAAUUGGUCAAACCCAUAAAGUAAAAUAGAUAGUAAACUUGCUAAAACACAAAAGGACACUAUUUAUGACCAAUCAGAUUGAAAAAAAGAGCUACUAUCGCAUCUUUCUUCUUGUGAUUUUGUUCUUUCUUCAAAAUUUAAAAACUGAAAAGUAGAAUGAGCUAACUUAUUUGGGGCACUGAAGAAAAAUUGUUAUAUAACUUGGCUGAAGGAAACUCACCUUUCCAAAGAAAAUUGGAAAAGCUUCGUAGCAAAAGAAUGAAGUGAGAUUGAGAUUGAGACAGACCAAGAUCUGAAUACAGGGGCUUGUCAUUUGUUUGAGCUUUUUCCAGACUUGUUCCGUACGACAGUUAAAAAUAUAACUGAUUCGGAUACUAUGCGGGAUAUUCGCUCUCAUUUCACGUCGGAGUGUGGGACUGUUU